CUACGCUGUAUUUGAACAUGGAACAAUUAUAUAAAAAACGACUUUCUUAUUCACUAUUUCUGGCUGGGAAAUUUCGAAUUUCCUUGAAGUGGAAACACCAUGGUAAAAUUUGACAUAUAUCUCCCCCAAUUUUCAACUAUUUACAAAUUGUACUGUAACACUAAUUCUACGUCCAAAUCACGCAGCCAAACGUAUCAUAGGCGGGAGACUUAGGCAUGUAUUUCAUGAAAAUGCCUAGAACUAGAUUUUUUGAAAAAUGUUCUCGGGAUUCCCACUUUGUACAUUAAUAAACCUAAGUUGACUCCCAGCCAUUGGCCCAUUACCUCUGCUAUUUUCAUGAUUAAUUCCUCGGAUUCUUUGAGAAAUUACGGAAGAUCAACUAUCAUAGGACUUUAAACGAUGUCCUAAAUCAAUCACAGCUACCACGAAGCAUGGAACCAUAUAAAAACAAUGACAUGAAGACAACACAAAUUAUUUGCAUUCACGUCAUUGCAAUUUUUCCCGCGUAAAGACAUUAGAUGAAAACAAAUCACGUGAUUGCCAUACGUCAUAACAUCAACACC